UACGUAGGGGGCAAGCGUUGUCCGGAAUUAUUGGGCGUAAAGAGCGUGUAGGUGGUCCGGUAAGUCAGCUGUGAAAGUCAAGGGCUCAACCCUUGAAAGCCGGUUGAUACUGUCGGGCUAGAGUCCGGAAGAGGCGAGUGGAAUUCCCGGUGUAGCGGUGAAAUGCGCAGAUAUCGGGAGGAACACCAAUGGCGAAGGCAGCUCGCUGGGACGGUACUGACGCUGAGACGCGAAAGCGUGGGGAGCAAACAGG
rnacentral:rRNA from 1 species